CAUGGCCUCUGCCUUUUCCUUUGUUAGUAUUUCCAUUCAGCAGGGAAUAGAAAACUGAAUGGAUCAGAUUGACAGUAUGGUUUGUUUGUUUUUGUUUUCUUUGUUUGGUCUUUUGUUGGACAGAAGCAGAAAACAUAAGCUGGUUAUUUUUUAAACUGAAGAAUGUAUACACAUCCUAAGUGCUGUCUUGGCCAAGCCAGAAUUUUAAAAAGAACAAUCUUCUUUGUGGCCACUAGAGGGUGGAGUAGACCUAACAAUCCAUUGUGUUUCUUGUCCUUGCACUUCACUUCAUUAAAUAGUCUGUAGGCACCACCAUGUUUGUUGUGAAAUACCCAGAACUUAGUAGAGAAGACUUUUCCUUUGUUCCUUAUCAUUCUCCUCACUAAACUGUUCUCAACUUUGUUGUGUUAGCAGAUCCCAUUUCACCAGUGCACAUCCUACCAGCAGAGACUCCAGUGACAAUGGAGAAUACAUUGAAAAAUUUUGAUGUGUGAUCUCAGAAAGAAACCAUGGUAGAAAAUGACUCCUCAGGGGAGUUUCAUACCUGUGGGUGGCAAUAUAAUGCCCCCUUCAAUGACCUACAUUUUUUGACUGGGGAUAUAAUUGGUAAUAUCUAUCAUUUUUUGUUGCUUUCUGUGUAUUAAAGAUAUACUAAGUGCUUUAAUGAUUUCCUCAUUUGGCCUUUCCAGCCUCCCAACAAUGUAGAUGUUACCCCGUUUGUAGAUCAUAAAACACAGGGUUGUAGAAAAGGAAAAGGAGGUGCUAGAAUUUCACCCAUAGAAAGUCAGAUUUCUAAAAUUACUGGUGCCAUCUGUGCGCCAGAUCCUAUGUGGCUCCAGUAUACAUUUUUAUGGAGUUUUUUAGGAUAAGGGCCAUUCUUACUUUGGACUACAAAUCCAGCCAUGGUAAGUUCAUAUUUUAACACUUGAUGGGAUGUAGUUUUAGGAUAAAGUAUUAACUUUUGAUUUUGAACACUUUUUUUUCCCAACAGAUCACCCCAAGAACAAGGAAAUUGAUGCAUCCCUGGGAAGCAGGAACAACCUGUGGUGAUACCGUUAUUCAGGGUCAAGAACCAGCUCUGAAAUCCACCAUGACACAUGGAAGAUGAGUGAAAAACCUUGCUGUGGAAAGGUGAUGGACGAAGGAAUUAUGCUGAUUCCUCCCAGACGGGUACUCCGGAGCAGCAACUUCAAGCAUAAUGAAAAUGCCUAGACCUAAGGCAGCUUCCUAGCAAGUCCUGCGGGACUGACAGGUCAUUGUGAGUCUGACAUGUGCAGUGGAAGUAACCGCUUGUGGGUCUCCUGCAGAAAGGAUGCCAUUUCCUAGCUGACUUUGCCCCGUGAAAGCUGAGUGCCACCAUGCAGGACUGCUCUUUGGGACUCCACUGCCACAUUUUGGUGAGCUGAGAAAGUCCUCUGUGAACAAGCUUAAAGGAUGCUUCACAAUCUGGUUUCUAUCUUGCUGAUUCCCUGGUGACGGAAGUUAGAAUUGUUCUCAAAGCAAUCUGGAGAAGACCCAGAAAAGGCAGUUUCUUGGGGUCAGAAAUUCGGGAACUUUCUGGCUCGGGGUCUUUCAAGAGGUUGUGGCCAGAGCUGCAGCAAUCUGACGGCUGGGCUGGGCUGGAGACUCUGCUUCCAGGAUGCUUGGCAAGUUGGCGUUGGCUGUCGGUGGGUGAGAGACCCUCAGUUCUCCUCGCAUACGUGUUCUCCUGAUAGUGUGGCCCAAGGAGCAGACAGUCUACGAUGCCGAACACACGAGGCCGGCAUGACCUCACUUCAGCAGCCACACACCUUCGCUUCUGCCGUAUCGUCUCCCAUUAGAAGCAAGGUGCUAAGUCCAGCGCAUCUUCAAGGGAAAGCUAUUAGGUUCCACCUUUUGAAGAAAGGAGCGUCACAGUGUUGCUCAUGGGAAACCCUCGUAAGAUUGUAUAUCAAUGAUGCUUUAGUAAAAAAAAAAGUCAAAGAAUUUGUAGUCAUAUUUAAAAACCACUGCAGGGCUUACUGAUCAGAAUUAGUCAAUUAAUAUCAAAUUAGUCAAAUGAGAAGGAAAAGACAAUGAGAAAUGAAGGCCAUUUGUAGAUGGAACACCCGCUGAGUGCCCACUGGGUCCUAGGCCCUGUGCUUCACAGACGUUAUU